rnacentral:rRNA from 1 species
AGUGAACGCUGGCGGUAUGCCUAACACAUGCAAGUCGAACGGCAGCACAGUAAGAGCUUGCUCUUACGGGUUGCGAGUGGCGGACGGAUGAGGAAUACAUCGUAAUCUACUUUUUCGUGUGGGAUAACGUAGGUAAACUUACGCUAAUACCGCAUACGACCUACGGUUGAAAGCAGUGGAUCUUCGGACCCUGCGCGUGUGGAUGGGCCGAUGUCGGAUUAGCUGGUUGGCGGGGUAGAUGCCCACCAAGGCUACGACGGGUAGCUGGCCUGAGAGGGUGACCGGCCACAUGGGGACUGAGAUACGGCCCAGACUCCUACGGGAGGCAGCAGUGGGGAAUAUUGCACAAUGGGCGGAAGCCUGAUGCAGCAACGCCGCGUGCGGGAUGACGUCCUUCGGGUUGUAAACCGCUUUCGCCUGUGACGAAGCGUGAGUGACGGUAAUGGGUAAAGAAGCACCGGCUAACUACGUG